GAUGAACGCUAGCGGCAGGCCUAACACAUGCAAGUCGAGGGGUAGAACACUUCGGUGUUUGAGACCGGCGCACGGGUGCGUAACGCGUAUGCAAUCUACCUUAUACAGGGGAAUAGCCCAGAGAAAUUUGGAUUAAUGCCCCAUAGCAUUACGACUUGGCAUCAAGAUGUAAUUAAAGUUCCAUCGGUAUAAGAUGAGCAUGCGUCCCAUUAGUUAGUUGGUAAGGUAACGGCUUACCAAGACAAUGAUGGGUAGGGGUCCUGAGAGGGAGAUCCCCCACACUGGUACUGAGACACGGACCAGACUCCUACGGGAGGCAGCAGUGAGGAAUAUUGGUCAAUGGGCGCAAGCCUGAACCAGCCAUGCCGCGUGCAGGAAGACGGUCCUAUGGAUUGUAAACUGCUUUUAUACAGGAAGAAACAUCCCGACGUGUCGGGACUUGACGGUACUGUAGGAAUAAGGAUCGGCUAACUCCGUGCCAGCCGCCGCAGUAAGAC
rnacentral:rRNA from 1 species